rnacentral:misc_RNA from 1 species
UUUCCGUAGGUGAACCUGCGGAAGGAUCAUUACAGAGUUCUUGCCCUCACAGGUCUAUCUCCCACCCUUGACUAUUUAUACCUUAGAUGCUUUUGCUGUCCGUGGAAACACCAUCGGCUACGUAUUAUGCGUCCGUCCCAGUGAAAACAAUCACUGUUUCUAUAUACGGCUGAAUCCUAUAUAAAAGGAACAACUUUCAACCACGUAUCUCUUGGUUCCAGCAUCGAGGAAGAACCCAGCACUUCGGACGAGUCACCUUUCGAACUCCAGUCACCAGUU